CUGUUCAGUCUCCAGCUCAGUUGUGUUUUGCCUGGUCUCCAGCUCAGUCAUGUUUUGCUCAGUCUCCAGCUCAGUCGUGUUUUGCCCAGUCUCCAGCUCAGUCGUGUUUUGCCCAGUCCCCAGUUCAGCCAUGCUCCGCUCAGGCUCCAGUCGCCGUUCAGCCUCGCCACGCUCAUGCUCUAGUGCAGCCCUGUCACGCUCAGGUUCCAGCCCCAGUCCAGUCGAGCCCAGUCCAGGUUUCAGCCCAGUCGAGCCCAGUCCAGGUUUCAGCCCAGUCGAGCCCAGUCCAGGUCUCAGCCCAGUCGAGCCCAGUCCAGUCGAGCCCAGUCCAGGUCUCAGUCCAGUCGAGCCCAGUCCAGUCGAGCCCAGUCCAGUCGAGCCCAGUUCGGGUUCCAGCCCAGUUGAGCCCAGUCCGGGCUCUAGCCCCGCUCCAGUCGAGCCCGGUCCAGUCGAGCCCGGUCCAGUCGAGCCCAGUCCAGAUCCCAGUCCAGUCGAGCCCAGUCCAGGGCCCCGUUCAGUCCGGUCACGCUCAGGUCCAGUCGAGGCUAGCCCAUGUUCCAGUCCAGUCGAGUCACGUCCCAGUCCAGUCCAGUCACGCUCAGUCCUUGUCCCAGUCAGAGGGCACCGUCCGUCUGACGACUGUUAGUUCCACCCAAUCAGGCCCGACGUCUCCUCCGUCGAGCUCGGCAGCUGUAAGCAGUCAUGCUGGCUCCGGGGGGGGACGUCGGCCAUGUUGCGGCCGUUCCUGUUCCUGUCGGCCAUGUUGCGGCCGUUCCUGUUCCUGUCGGCCAUGUUGAGGCCGUUCCUGUUGUUGUCGGCCAUGUUGGGGCCGUUCCAGUCCCUGUCGGCCAUGUUGAGGUCGUUCCUGUUCCUGUCGGCCAUGUUGAGGCCGUUCCCGCCCCUAUCGGCCAUGUUGAGGCCGUUCCCGCCCCUGUCGGCCAUGUUGAGGUCGUUCCUGUACCUGUCGGUUCCGUAGUUCCUGUCGGCCAAGUAGCGGUCGUUCCUGUCCCUGUCGGUUCCGUAGUUCCUGUCGGCCAAGUAGCGGUCGUUCCAGUCCCCGUUCCUGUCGGCCCGAGAGAGGUCGUUCCAGUCCCUGUCACCCUCGGAGCCGCAGCGCCCGCCGGCCUCCAGGAGGAGGCGGCGCCUGCUGCAGCGCCCGCGGACCUCCAGGAGGAGGCGGCGCCUGCUGCAGCGCCCGCGGACCUCCAGGAGGAGGCGGCGCCUGCUGCAGCGCCCGCGGACCUCCAGGAGGAGGCCGCGCCAGCUGCAGCGCCCGCGGACCUCCAGGAGGAGGUCGCGCCAGCUGCAGUCCCUGCGCACCUCCAGGAGGAGGUCGCGCCAGCUGCAGUCCCUGCGCACCUCCAGGAGGAGGUCGCGCCAGCUGCAGUCCCUGCGCACCUCCAGGAGGAGGUCGCGCCAGCUGCAGUCCCGGCGGACCUCCAGG
rnacentral:lncRNA from 1 species